CUAAGGCUGAGACACGACGUCGAGCUGCUACGGCAGUGAAGUCAUUGAUGCCAUGCUUCCAGGAAAAGCCUCUAAGCUUCAGAUAGUCAGGAAUCGUACCCCAAACCGACACAGGUGGUCGGGUAGAGAAUACCAAGGCGCUUGAGAGAACUCGGGUGAAGGAACUAGGCAAAAUGGUACCGUAACUUCGGGAGAAGGUACGCUCUUGAUGGUGAAGUCCCUCGCGGAUGGAGCUGACGAGAGUCGCAGAUACCAGGUGGCUGCAACUGUUUAUUAAAAACACAGCACUGUGCAAAAUCGCAAGAUGACGUAUACGGUGUGACGCCUGCCCGGUGCCGGAAGGUUAAUUGAUGGGGUUAGCGCAAGCGAAGCUCUUGAUCGAAGCCCCGGUAAACGGCGGCCGUAACUAUAACGGUCCUAAGGUAGCGAAAUUCCUUGUCGGGUAAGUUCCGACCUGCACGAAUGGCGUAAUGAUGGCCACGCUGUCUCCACCCGAGACUCAGUGAAAUUGAAAUCGCUGUGAAGAUGCAGUGUACCCGCGGCUAGACGGAAAGACCCCGUGAACCUUUACUACAGCUUGGCACUGAACAUUGAACCUACAUGUGUAGGAUAGGUGGGAGGCUAUGAAAACGUGACGCCAGUUGCGUUGGAGCCGUCCUUGAAAUACCACCCUUGUAUGUUUGAUGUUCUAACUUAGACCCAUUAUCUGGGUUGAGGACAGUGCCUGGUGGGUAGUUUGACUGGGGCGGUCUCCUCCCAAAGAGUAACGGAGGAGCACGAAGGUGGGCUAAUCACGGUUGGACAUCGUGAGGUUAGUGCAAUGGCAUAAGCCCGCUUAACUGCGAGAAUGACGGUUCGAGCAGGUGCGAAAGCAGGUCAUAGUGAUCCGGUGGUUCUGUAUGGAAGGGCCAUCGCUCAACGGAUAAAAGGUACUCCGGGGAUAACAGGCUGAUACCGCCCAAGAGUUCAUAUCGACGGCGGUGUUUGGCACCUCGAUGUCGGCUCAUCACAUCCUGGGGCUGAAGUCGGUCCCAAGGGUAUGGCUGUUCGCCAUUUAAAGUGGUACGCGAGCUGGGUUUAGAACGUCGUGAGACAGUUCGGUCCCUAUCUGCCGUGGGCGUUGGAAGAUUGAAGGGGGCUGCUCCUAGUACGAGAGGACCGGAGUGGACGAACCUCUGGUGUUCGGGUUGUGUCGCCAGACGCAUUGCCCGGUAGCUAAGUUCGGAAUUGAUAAGCGCUGAAAGCAUCUAAGCGCGAAGCGAGCCCUGAGAUGAGUCUUCCCUGAUACUUUAAGUAUCCUAAAGGGUUGUUCGAGACUAGAACGUUGAUAGGCAGGGUGUGUAAGCGUUGUGAGGCGUUGAGCUAACCUGUACUAAUUGCCCGUGAGGCUUAACCAU
rnacentral:rRNA from 1 species